rnacentral:tRNA from 1 species
CCUCCUUUCUAAGGAGAAAUCCUCUCUUUUCACGGAGAAGGAUAUGGUCGAGCUCAAAUUCGACGGUCACGCAUGCCCUUAUUUUUGGGCUUGUAGCUCAGUUGGUUAGAGCGCAUCCCUGAUAAGGAUGAGGUCCGUGGUUCGAAUCCACGCAGGCCCACGAUGAGCUGCGGCUUUGAUUUCAUGGGGCUAUAACUCAGUUGGGAGAGCGCCUGAUUUGCAUUCAGGAGGUCGUCGGUUCGAUCCCGGCUAGCUCCACAAAAGAUUUUUGAUAAUUAAUUCUUCUUAGUGAAAAUAGAAGAUUAAUGAUGAGAGAGCGCCCCGACAUGUAAUAUCGGGAAAGUCGUCUGUUUCCCGAUAAAUCGGGAGCUGGCUCUACCAGUUUUUUUAAAAGUAAAGAAUUUGGUUCCCAAGUGG